CUCGUCCUCCCGGGGAUGGUGGGGACACUGUUGGGACCGCCUCUGCUAAAGAGGAGGAAGGGAAUGGGGCAACGGUAGGUCAGCAUGCCCCGAAUUAUCUGGGCUACACGCGGGCUACAAUGGGUGGGACAAUGGGUAUCGACACCGAAAGGUGAAGGCAAUCUCCUAAACCCAUCCGUAGUUCGGAUUGUGGGCUGCAACUCGCCCACAUGAAGCUGGAAUCUGUAGUAAUCGUGUCUCAAAAUGGCACGGUGAAUAUGUCCCUGCUCCUU
rnacentral:rRNA from 1 species